AACGCAUUGGCGCAGCUUACAAUGCAAGUCGAGCGGGGGAAGGUAGCUUGCUACCGGACCUAGCGGCGGACGGGUGAGUAAUGCUUAGGAAUCUGCCUAUUAGUGGGGGACAACAUCUCGAAAGGGAUGCUAAUACCGCAUACGUCCUACGGGAGAAAGCAGGGGAUCUUCGGACCUUGCGCUAAUAGAUGAGCCUAAGUCGGAUUAGCUAGUUGGUGGGGUAAAGGCCUACCAAGGCGACGAUCUGUAGCGGGUCUAAGGGCAAGCCUCUUGUUCGACUUCCCCCAGUCAUCGGCCACACCGUGGUAACCGCCCUCUUUGCAGUUAGGCUAGCUACUUCUGGUGCAACAAACUCCCAUGGUGUGACGGGCGGUGUGUACAAGGCCCGGGAACGUAUUCACCGCGGCAUUCUGAUCCGCGAUUACUAGCGAUUCCGACUUCAUGGAGUCGAGUUGCAGACUCCAAUCCGGACUACGAUCGGCUUUUUGAGAUUAGCAUCACAUCGCUGUGUAGCAACCCUUUGUACCGACCAUUGUAGCACGUGUGUAGCCCUGGCCGUAAGGGCCAUGAUGACUUGACGUCGUCCCCGCCUUCCUCCAGUUUGUCACUGGCAGUAUCCUUAAAGUUCCCAUCCGAAAUGCUGGCAAGUAAGGAAAAGGGUUGCGCUCGUUGCGGGACUUAACCCAACAUCUCACGACACGAGCUGACGACAGCCAUGCAGCACCUGUAUCUAGAUUCCCGAAGGCACCAAUCCAUCUCUGGAAAGUUUCUAGUAUGUCAAGGCCAGGUAAGGUUCUUCGCGUUGCAUCGAAUUAAACCACAUGCUCCACCGCUUGUGCGGGCCCCCGUCAAUUCAUUUGAGUUUUAGUCUUGCGACCGUACUCCCCAGGCGGUCUACUUAUCGCGUUAGCUGCGCCACUAAAGCCUCAAAGGCCCCAACGGCUAGUAGACAUCGUUUACGGCAUGGACUACCAGGGUAUCUAAUCCUGUUUGCUCCCCAUGCUUUCGUACCUCAGCGUCAGUAUUAGGCCAGAUGGCUGCCUUCGCCAUCGGUAUUCCUCCAGAUCUCUACGCAUUUCACCGCUACACCUGGAAAUUCUACCAUCCUCUCCCAUACUCUAGCUCACCAGUAUCGAAAUGCAAUUCCCAAGUUAAGCUCGGGGAUUUCACAUCCGACUUAAUAAGCCGCCUACGCACGCUUUACGCCCAGUAAAUCCGAAUAACGCUCGCACCCCUCUGUAUACCGCGCCUGCUGGCCACAGAGUUAGCCGGUGCCUAAUUCUGCGAGUAACGUCCACUAUCUCUAGGUAAUAAACUAAAGUAAGCCUCCUCCUCCGCUUAAAUGCUUACAACCAUAAGCCUUCCUUAACACGCGGGCAUGACUGGAUCAGGCUCCCCAUUGUCAUAUGCCCACUGCUGCUUCGGUAGGAAUUGGGCAUGUUCCAGUCCAAUGUGGCGAUUCAUCUUCUCGAACUGCGCUCACAGAAUAUGCUCACCCU
rnacentral:rRNA from 1 species